rnacentral:rRNA from 1 species
UACGGAGGGUGCAAGCGUUAUCCGGAUUCACUGGGCUUAAAGGGUGCGUAGGAGGGCGGAUAAGUCAGUGGUGAAAUCUUCGAGCUUAACUCGGAAACUGCCGUUGAUACUAUUUGUCUUGAAUAUCGUGGAGGUGAGCGGAAUAUGUCAUGUAGCGGUGAAAUGCUUAGAUAUGACAUAGAACACCAAUUGCGAAGGCAGCUCGCUACACGAAUAUUGACUCUGAGGCACGAAAGCGUGGGGAUCAAACAGG